rnacentral:rRNA from 1 species
AUACGAAGGGUGCAAGCGUUAAUCGGAAUUACUGGGCGUAAAGCGCGCGUAGGUGGUUUUGUAAGUUGGAGGUGAAAGCCCCGGGCUCAACCUGGGAAUUGCCUCCAAAACUGCAUGACUAGAGUACGGUAGAGGGUAGUGGAAUUUCCUGUGUAGCGGUGAAAUGCGUAGAUAUAGGAAGGAACACCAGUGGCGAAGGCGACUACCGGGACUGAUACUGACACUGAGGUGCGAAAGCGUGGGGAGCAAACAGGUUUAGAUACCCUGGUAGUCCACGUCGUAAACGAUGUCAACUAGCCGUUGGGAUCCUUGAGAUCUUAGUGGCGCAGCUAACGCAUUAAGUUGACCGCCUGGGGAGUACGGCCGCAAGGUUAAAACUCAAAGGAAUUGACGGGG